UUCUCUGUGACAAACAGGAGGUCAGAAAUUCACAGAUUUCAGAUGGGAAGAGUCUUCAGGGAACACUCUUUACUGGGUUUUAGACUUUUGAAGCAUUGGAACCCUUUUCUCAGUCUUUGGGAACUUCAGUUCUAUUAUGCUAAUUACCCAGGUUGGAUCAUUGUGUAAUAUGUGGGAUGUGUUUUCUCAUGUAUGGUGCUGCAGAUAAACAGAAGUACAAAGUUCCUCAAGAAAUAAGUCAGCAGGUAUGCAUGUACUUCUAUUCUAUGUGGUUAAAUCUGCUUAAUAUAAUUUUGUAAAUCUUGGUGUUAGGUGGCUGUGGUAGAGCUGUUAGGAUGUCUCUGGCAAG
rnacentral:lncRNA from 1 species